rnacentral:lncRNA from 10 species
UGAGUUUGCACCUUCCCUGGGUGGAUUAGAAACCAAAUCCUGUUAAAAAUCUUACAAUCUAAGCUUUUUUUCAGCAAGAAGGUGGUGGAGAGAAAAGGGAGAUGGAGGAAGAGCUGGGAAAAGUCUGUUAAGUUCCUCAGGCUUCCCCUGCUGAUUAAUAUCCUCAAAGGGUGCCUGCAUUAUCUUCCCCAACCCAGGACUGACCCCGAGGCUCCAAAUCACCUGCCUUCCUCCAAGCAAACUUCCGUCUCCCAGCUGACCUCGGCUAGGCAUACGGAGCAAUACACUAACACACCAUCGCUAAGCCUCCCUUUCAACUCUUCUAAGUUUUUGGAUUUUUCAAAGAGAAAACAUGUUAUCUUCCCCUACCCUUACUCCCCAAAGGAACUUAAGGCAAAAAAAGAAAAAAAAAAAAGGCGGUG